GCCUGAGUGGUGGAAUUGGCAGACACGACAGACUCAAAAUCUGUUGUCGGCAACGGCGUGUGGGUUCGAGUCCCACCUCAGGCA
rnacentral:tRNA from 2 species